GACGAACGCUGGCGGCGUGCUUAACACAUGCAAGUCGAACGGAAAGGCCCUGCUUUUGUGGGGUGCUCGAGUGGCGAACGGGUGAGUAACACGUGAGUAACCUGCCCUUGACUCUGGGAUAACUUCAGGCAACUGGGGCUAAUACCGGAUAGGAGCUCCUGCUGCAUGGUGGGGGUUGGAAAGUUUCGGCGGUUGGGGAUGGACUCGCGGCUUAUCAGCUUGUUGGUGGGGUAGUGGCUUACCAAGGCUUUGACGGGUAGCCGGCCUGAGAGGGUGACCGGCCACAUUGGGACUGAGAUACGGCCCAGACUCCUACGGGAGGCAGCAGUGGAGAAUAUUGCACAAUGGGCGGAAGCCUGAUGCAGCAACGCCGCGUGCGGGAUGACGGCCUUCGGGUUGUAAACCGCUUUCGCCUGUGACGAAGCGUGAGUGACGGUAAUGGGUAAAGAAGCACCGGCUAACUACGUG
rnacentral:rRNA from 1 species